GACGAACGCUGGCGGCGUGCUUAACACAUGCAAGUCGAGCGGUAAGGCCCUUUCGGGGGUACACGAGCGGCGAACGGGUGAGUAACACGUGGGUGACCUGCCUUUAGCUCUGGGAUAAGCCUGGGAAACUGGGUCUAAUACCGGAUACGACUCCGCGGUGCAUGCUGUGGGGUGGAAAGCCUUGUGCGGCUGGAGAUGGGCCCGCGGCCUAUCAGC
rnacentral:rRNA from 1 species